GAACAACUACCGUGAGGGAAAGGUGAAAAGCACCCUGAAUAAGGGAGUGAAAAAGAACCUGAAACCGUGCGCCUACAAGCGGUCGGAGCCUUUAGAGGUGACGGCGUGCCUUUUGCAUAAUGAGCCUACGAGUUACUGUUACUAGCAAGGUUAAGAUUUUAAGGAUCGGAUCCGAAGCGAAAGCGAGUCUGAAUAGGGCGACGUAGUUAGUAGUAGUAGACGCGAAACCCGGUGAUCUACCCAUGAGCAGGUUGAAGUUCCAGUAACAUGGAAUGGAGGACCGAACCCGUUGACGUUGAAAAGUCUUGGGAUGACUUGUGGGUAGGGGUGAAAGGCCAAUCAAACCCGGAAAUAGCUCGUACUCCCCGAAAUGCAUUUAGGUGCAGCGUUCAGGUAGAGUAUUAUAGAGGUAGAGCUACUGAUAGGGCUAGGGGGCUUCACCGCCUACCAAACCCUGACAAACUCCGAAUGCUAUAAUAUAUACUGAGCAGUGAGGGCAUGGGUGCUAAGGUCCAUGUCCGAGAGGGAAACAACCCAGACCAUCAGCUAAGGUCCCCAAAUAUAUGUUAAGUUGAAUAAACGAGGUUGAACUGCUUUGACAGCUAGGAUGUUGGCUUGGAAGCAGCCAUUCAUUUAAAGAGUGCGUAACAGCUCACUAGUCGAGCGGUU
rnacentral:rRNA from 1 species